rnacentral:rRNA from 1 species
UACGUAGGCAGCAAGCGUUGUUCGGAGUUACUGGGCGUAAAGAGUGCGUAGGCGGUUUCGCAAGUUUGGUGUGAAAUCUCCCGGCUUAACUGGGAGGGUGCGCCGAAAACUGCGGGGCUGGAGUGGGGGAGAGGUAAGCGGAAUUCCUGGUGUAGCGGUGAAAUGCGUAGAUAUCAGGAGGAACACCGGCGGUGUAGACGGCUUACUGGACCCUGACUGACGCUGAGGCACGAAAGCGUGGGGAGCAAACAGG